UCAUGAAGAUGAAAUUAUUUGGUAGCAGACUUUUCCUGCUCAAGUGCAGGCCAUACCAGUCAUAAGAACAGUAGGGAACUUGAUGCCACCCGCAAUGACUCAGAAGGAUAUACUGAGACCCACAUGUAAAAAAUUCAAAUCGACGACAGGGCUUGAGGGAUAACUUCAGUCAUUAAAGGCUUAGGGUCACAGCCAGAAAGACCAAGAGUUCAGUUCUAAAGUGCCCUGCAACCCACAGUUGGUUUUCAAUGUCAGCCUAGCCCACCAACACCAGAUCCUGUUUCAAAGCACAACAACAAAAGGAAAGAGAAGAGUUAACCAAAGUAUUACUGCCUCUGAUGGAAAUUGAUCCAAGAAUUCUGACAAAGAACUAAUCAAGCAGCUUCUUCCAAACCCUUCUCCAAAGAAGCCACAAAAAGUUGCUUGCUAAUUUUUAUUCUCUCUGACUCGCCAUAAAAUCAAUCAAAGCAUGCUC